AACGCAAUAUACUAGUGUUAUAGUUUGCCUAAACAAAUUCAAGAAUCAAAGCUUGUAUUUGUGUUGUGCAAAAUGACUCAUAAUAUCUUUAGCAUAAUUCUUUUCCUUGUUCUUAUUUCUCAAGGUUAUAGUCAAUGUCUCUUGAGUGAUAUAUCUGUAAGUCAAAUUCAAACAGGAAUUAAAGUGCAAGGAAAGCUAGAAUGGAGUGUGACCAUCACCAACAAGUGUCCAUGUGUUCAAAAGAAUGUGAUAUUAAAUUGUACUGGAUUCCAAUCCAUUGAACGCAUAAAUCCUUCACUUUUGAGGGUCUCCCAUGGACAUUGUCUUGUUAAUGCUGGCCAAUCUAUCUACGGAGAUGCUAUCAAAUUUAAAUAUGCUUGGAACAAACAAUUUCCAUUAAAACCAAUCUCCUCAGAUAUUUCUUGUUCUUAAACGUAGAUAUAAGAGAUUUUCUCUUAUAAACUUUGAUGUCAUUUGUUGAAGCUUGGUUUACAAGCAUUGCAAUUAUUGAAUAAAACAUGAAAUAUAGGUACAUUGAA